rnacentral:lncRNA from 1 species
ACUCCAGCCUCCUUGCAAGCUUGGGGCGCCUCAUUCUCUCCCGUGCCCCUUCUCCCAGCUGGGUCUGAGCCCCCGCCCCCCUGGCUCCUCCGUUCUGCUUCUCCCAGCUUCUCUGUCCAUCUCCCCCAAUGGCCUCUCUCUACACUCUCUGCCUCAGCUUCCAGGUCUCUGCUGGUCCCUAGGAAGCACUUUGACCUCUGCUUCCCCUUCAAAUGCUGUGGAUCAAGCCUCCCCAACCCCACCAUCCCACCAAAGGGGGCUGCUGACCGAGAGAGCUCACUCAGCCAGAGGAGGAAAUCGAGGCUCUGAGCGGUUAAGUAACUUGUCCAGGGUCAUACAGCCAGCAAGGCAGAAAACAUGCAAGGUGAGACUGAGUUGGGAUGAGUGUGACACUUGCCUCAGGUGCAAAUUUAUUUUUUUAUUUUUUGAGCUAUGUUCUCACUUUGUCACCCAGGCUGGAGUGCUGUGGCGCGAUCAUGGCUUACUGCAGCCUUGACUUCCUGGGUUCAGGUGAUCCUCCCGCCUCAGCCACCCAAGUACCCAAGUAGCUGGCACUACAGGCACGCACCACGACACCCAGCUGAUUUUGUGUGUGUGUGUUGUGUGUGUUUGGGUUGUGUGUGUGUGUGUUUUUGAGACAGAGUCUCACUCUGUCACCCAGGCUUGGAGUGCAGUGGAGCAAUCUUGGCUCACUGCAACCUCCGCCUCCCAGGUUCAAGCGAUUCCCCUGCCUCAGCCUCCGGAGUAGCUGGGAUUACAGGCACAUACCACUACACCCGGCUAAUUUUUUUGUAUUCUUUAUUGAGUUGGGGUUUCACCAUGUUGGCCAGGCUGGUCUUGAACUCUUGACCUCAAGUGAUUCGUCCGCCUCGGCCUCCCAAAGUGCUGGGAUUACAGGUGUGAGCCACUGUGCCCGGCCUUGUGUGUGUAUUUUUUGUGGAGACAGGGUCUUGCCAUGCUGCCCAGGUUGGUCUCAAACUCCUGGACUCAAGCCAUCCGCCCACCUCAGCCUCCCAAAGUGUUAGGAUUACAGGCGUGCGCCACCAUGCCUGGCAGCCCAGGUGCAAAUUUUAAGGGAAUGCCAAAAAACCCAGUCAUCAAGGUAAAUAACAUUUUUAUGCAAUAUGUUUUUAAAAUUAAAAUGAAUGCAAAACCCCAAAGAAUUAAAAACAGAUGUCUAUACAAAAACUUGUGCGUGAAUGCUCAUAGCAGCAUUAUUCACAAGAGCCAAAAAGUGGAAAAAACAUAAAUAUUCAUCACCUGAUGAAUAUAUAAACAAAAUAUGGCUUGACCAUGCAAUGGUAUAGACAUAUAUAUUUUUUUCUUUCUUUUUUUUUUUUUUUGAGAUGGGGGUCUCGCUCUGUUGCCCAGGCUGGAGUGCAGUGGUGCAAUCUUGGCUCACUGCAACCUCCGCCUCCCGGGUUCAAGCAAUUCUCCUGCCUGAGCCUCCCGAGUAUCUGGAACUACAGGUAUGUACCACCACGCCCAGCUAAUUUUUGUAUUUUUGGUAGAGAUGGGGUUUUACCAUGUUGGCCAGACUAGUCUCGAACUCCUGACCUUAGGUGAUGCCCUCGCCUUGGCCCCCCAAAGUGCUGGGAUUACAGGCAUGAGCCACCGCAUCCAGCCAAUGCAAUGGUAUAUUAUUUGGUCAUAUAAAGGAAUGGAGUUCCAGUACAUGCCACAACAUGCAUGAGCCUUGAAAACAUGAUGCUAAGUGAAAAAGUGGUCACUAAAGACUACAUAGUGUGUGAGUCCAUUUAUCUGAAAUGUCCAGAACAGGCAAAUCCAUAGAGACAGGAAGUGGAUUUGUGGUUGUCAGGGCCUGGGUGGGAGAAGGGAAUGGGGAGUGGCCACUCCAUGGUGCUGGGUUUCUUUAGGAUGAUAAAAAUGUUCUACAAUUGAUUGUGGUGAUAUCGGACAACUCUGUGACUUUAUUAAAACCCAAUGAAUUGCACAUUUUAAAAGGGCGAGUUUGAUGGUAUGUAAAUCAAUAAAAAUAUUGUUGUAGCUUUAUUGAGAUAUACUUACCAUACAAUUCACCCAUUUCAUGUGUGCAAUUCUGAUUUUUUUUUUCAUUUUUAUUUAUUUUUAUUUUUUGAGACAGGGUUUGGCUCUGUUGCCCAAGCUAGAGUGCAAUGGCAUGAUCUGGGCUCACUGCAACCUCCGCCUCCUGGGCUCAAAUCAUCCUUCUACCUCAGCCUCCCGAGUAGCUGGGACUACAGGUGUGCACCACUGCACCCAGCUAAUUUUUUUUUUUUUUUUUUUUGUAUUUUUGGUAGAGACGGAGUUUCACCAUGUUGCCCAGGCUGGUCUCAAACUCCUGGACUCAAGAGAUCCUCCCAUCUCAGCCCCACAAAGUGCUGGGAUUACAGGUGUGAGCCACCAUGCCCGGCCUCAAAAAAUAUUUUUUAACUAAUGUAAAAUAAUCUGUGCUGAACAAAAUAGCAAACAUCUAAAUACAGGCCCUGUGGCCAGGCACAGUGGCUCAUGCCUGUAAUCCCAGUACUUUGGGAGGCCGAGGUGGGUGGAUCACCUGAGGUCAGGAAUUUGAGACCAGCCUGGCUAACAUGAUGAAACCCCAUUUCUACUAAAAAUUUAAAAAGCUGGGCAUGGUGAUGCACGCAGGAGGCUGAGACAGGAGAAUCACUUGAACCCAGGAGGCGGAGGUUGCAGUGAGCCGAGAUCACGCCAUUGCACUCCAGUUUGGGCAACAAGAGCAAAACUCUGUCUCAAAAAAAAAAAAAAAAAAAAAAACAGGCCCUGCCCUCACCCACCAGCCACAUGUGGCUACCAAGCACUUGAAAGAUGGCUAAUGUCACUUCUUGAAAUGAUAAUUUUUAAAAAAUAUAUUGAGUUAAAUUUUUAAAUUAAGAAAAUUUUGGCCGGGCGUGGUGGCUAACGCCUGUAAUCCCAGCACUUUUGGGAGGCCAAGGUGGGUAGAUCACCUGAGGUCAGGAGUUCGAGACCACCCUGACCAAUAUGGUGAAACCCCAUCUGUAAUAAAAAUACAAAAAUUAACCUCAGGAGGCUGAGGCAGGAAAAUCACUUGAACCUGGGAGGCGGAGGUGGCAGUGAACCAAGAUCAUGCCACUGCACUCUGGCCUGGGUGAUACAGCAAGACACUGUCUCAAAAAAAAAAAAAAAAAAAAAAAAGACAAUUUAAAAGUUAACAUUUAGGCCGGGCGCGGUGGCUCACGCCUGUAAUCUCAGCACUUUGGGAGGCCGAGGUGGGCGGAUCACAAGGUCAGGAGAUUGAGACCAUCCUGCCUAACAUGGUGAAACCCCGUCUCUACUAAAAAUACAAGAAAUUAGCCUGGCGUGGUGGCGGGCGCCUGUAGUCCCAGCUACUUAGGAGGCUGAGGCAGGAGAAUGGCGUGAACCCAGGAUGCGGAGCUUGCAGUGAGCCGAGAUCGCGCCACUGUACUCCAGCCUGGGCGACAGAGCGAGACUCCCUCUCAAAAAAAAAAAAAAAAAAAAAAAGUUAACAUUUAGAAUAAUUUUAAAUUAGAUUUAAUUAAAAUAUUAUUUAUAUAUUAUACAAAUAUAAUGUUAUAUUUAGUUUAAAAUAAUUUGGUUUAAAUUAAAAUUUUAUUUAUAAAAAUAACUUUUUAUUUUAAAAAUUAAAGAAAAUAACUUCACCUGUUCCAUUUUACUUUUUAUUUUUUUAAGAGCCAGAUUCUUACUCUGUCACCCAGGCUGGCAUGAUCAUAGCUCACUUCAGCCUAGAACUCCUGGCUUCAAGCAAUCCUCCCACCUCAGCAUCCCAAGUAGCUGGAACUACAGGUACGCACCAUCAUGCCCAGCUUCAUUUAUAUAUUUAUCUUUUUUGUUUGUUUUUUGAGACAGGGUCUCCUUCUGUCGCCCGAGCUGGAGUGCAGUGGCACAAUCUUGGCAAACUGCAACCUAUGCUUCUGGGGCUCCCGUGAUCCUCCCACCUCAGCCUCUCCAAUAGCUGGGACUACAAGCGUGUGCCACCAUGCCUCGCUAAUUUUUGUAUUUUUUAGUAGAGACAAGAGUUUGCCACAUUGCCCAGGCUGGUCUCAAACUCCUGAGCCCAAGCCAUCUGCCCACCUCGUCCUCCCAAGGUGCUGGGAUUACAGGGGUGAGCCACUGCACCCUGCCUAUUUAUUUACUUUUCUUAGAGAUGGGGGUCUUGCUUUGUUGCCCAGGCUGGUCUCGAACUCCUGGGCUCAAGCAAUCCUCUCACCUCAGCCUCCCAAAGUGUUGGGAUUACAGGCAUGAGCCAUCUCACCUGGCCAGUAAUGUAUUUCACUCCAAGAACAACUCAUGAAUUAGGAACUGUUAUAAUCCCCCUUCUGCAGGGGAGGAAAGAGAGGCUCAGAGAGGUUAAAUGACUGCUCAGAGUCCCUCAGAGCUGGGCUUUAAGUCCACCUGAGGCAGGCGGACGGGCUGUGCAGGACAAGUUGGCAGCCCCCGCCUUAAGGAGAGUGGUACCCUCUUUCCUCCAGUGCAUUUAUGUUUUAUUUUUAUUUUUGAGACAGAGCCUCACUUUGUCACCCAGGCUGGAGUACAGUGGUGCGAUCUCAGCUCACUGUAACCUCUGCCUCCUGGGUUCGAGCAAUCCUCCUACCUUAGCCUCCUGAGUAGCUGGGACUACAGGCACACACCACCAUGCCUGGCUAAUUUUUGUAUUUUUGGUAGAGACAGGGUUUCACCAUGUUUGCCAGGCUGGUCUCAAACUCCUGGCCUCAAAAGAUCCACCCACCUCGGCCUCCCAAACUGUUGGGAUUAUAGGCGUGAGCCACCGUGCCCGGCCAAGUGCAUUUUUUUGUAAACCCCCGUGCAAGUUGCUUUGAGGUUGAGCAGCUUACUGCUGGGGACAGCAUUCUCAAGUCCAGGCUAAACAGGGAAGAUGCUGUGUGCUGUCCCUUUGUGGCUUUGAGGUUCUCCUGCUUAUUCUCUUUGCUGCCUGCAGCUGCCUCUUGGUGACUUUCCCUUUCCAGGGAGCCAGAGGAACCAAGGAGUGUUGGCCCUGACUCCUGCCCCCAGCAUGUAAACUCAUUAACUGCUGGGUCCUCAGGCAGUUAGGUGGCUGAGCAUUUGAGUCUGGGACGGCAGGUGGAUUUGGUUGGAGAGGGAAUGACAGAGAUUGGGGAGGAGCCUCCAGAGUCUAAAGAGAUAGGUACACAAGCAGAAAGUUCCAGCCCCCAGCCUGCCUUUCCCCCAUGCUCAGGGGACAAAGCUGAAUUAACUCGAGGUCAGGAAUGGCAUUUGCAUUUGCAUUCUUGAGAGUCACUGCAAAUAAGAGCUGUAGUCAUGGUGAGUGGUUAAGGCAAUGGACUAGAGAACCACUGAGAAAAAAAGCGAACAGUGGCUGGGCGCAGUGGCUCAUGCCUGUCAUCCCAGCACUUUGGGAGACCGAAGUGGGUGGAUCACUUGAGGUCAGGAGUUCGAGACCAGCCUGGCCAACAUGGUGAAAACCCGUCUCUACUAAAAAUACAAAAAUUAGCCAGGCUUGUCAGUGGGCACCUAUAAUCCCAGCUAGUCGGAAGGCUGAGGCAGGAGAAUCACUUGAACCCAGAAGGCAGAGGUUGCAGUGAGCUGAGAUCAUGACACUGCACUCCAGCCUGGGUGACAGAGAGAAACUCCGUCUCAAAAAAAAAAGAAAAAGAAAAAAAAAAAAAGGAACAGCCGGACAUGGUAGCUCAUACCUGUAAUCCCAGCGCUUUGGGAGACCGAGGCAGGUGGAUCACCUGAGGUCAGGAGUUCCAGAUCAGCCUGGCCAACAUGGUAAAACCCCAUCUCUACUAAAAAUACAAAAAUUAGCUGGAUGUGGUGGCGCACACCUGUAGUCCCAGAUACUCAGGAGGCUGAGGCAGGAGAAUAGCUUGAACCCGGGAGGCGGAGGUUGCAGUGAGCAGAGAUCACGCCACUGCACUCCAGCCUGGGCGAUAGAGUAACAAUCCGUCUCAAAAAAAUCUGAAAAUUAAAAAUUAAAAAGUGAACAGUUGUUUAGUAAGUGCAGUAGGUAGGCCAAGAUAACUAUUAAGUAUGUCCUAACAAGGUAGCUGCUUGAAAAAAAUAAUGCACAUAAAUUAAAAAAAAAAAAACUAUUUUCACUCAUUCUUAACUUCUCGUAUGGAUGUACUAACGGGAGGCCUGUGCCUGUUGGGCUGUCCACAGCUACUCAAACCUUGAGAUUAGAUUGGACGCUAUCUAAUCUCAUUUCCUGUUACACAAUAACUUCUGCAUGGCACUUGCUUUUAAUCAUGACAACUGCCAUACACUCAGCUUUACAAAAUCAUGUCAUUGUGGAAAGGAAGUUCCCUCCAUCUAACAUUCAAAUUUAACUAUCCUGAGCUGGUAGUUUGCAAGGUGUCCAACAGAUGUCACUGUGUUUCCUUCGCAAAUUCUCUAAAAUAGUCUGCUGUGUCCCGGGGCAUAGUAGAUAUUCAAGAAAUGGUGGCUAUGAGUUUUAUCACAAUUCUCUCCUACUGGGUGAGCAGCUGUUUGCAAGACUAAAAUUCGGGCGAGGCACAGGCUUCCCCUUGGUCUUAGCAGCUAGCACAAGACGAGUGUCCCUUCAGCCAGUCUCAGAGCUCUUUGGCAAUUCAACUGACCCUUGUCCUUCAGUCCAGACAAUGCCCCAGGGCCCACCUGCAUUCAAACUCGGACUGUUCUCCUUCCCACCCCUAUUAUCUUUUCAACUUUAUGGACAGUACAUGCAAUUUUCUCAUUCAUUUUCUCAUUUAACAUCUAACAGCUUCAUGAUAUCCCCAUUUUACAGAUAAGGAAACCAAGGCUUUAAGAGGAUAGGGACCCUAAUCGGCUAAGGCAGAAUUAGGAUUUGAACCCAGAUCCCCAUGACGCCAGAAUCUAAGCCUUGACCAAAUAUGUGUUACUAUUACUUUUGUUGUUGUUGUUGUUCUGGGUAACUCCAACCCUCUGCUCGUUGGCCUUGUCACCUCAGUGCUGAUUUUGCAGAUGAAGAGACUAAGGUUCCGAGGUGCUAGAGCACAGUGGUUAGGAACACACACUCUAGAGCCAGAGUGCCUGGGUUUGAGCCUCGUUCUGCCGUUUACUAGCCGUAUGGCCUUGGGCAACUUGCUUAACUUCUCUUUGCCUCAGUUCCUCUUCUCUUGGGUUGUUAGGAGAAUGAAUGAGGUGAUAUCCACAGUGUCCAACACCCUGCAAGCGGCCAGGUGUGGUGGAUCACACCUGCAAUCCCAGCACUUUGGGAGGCCGAGGCAGGUGGAUCAUUUGAGGUCAGGAGUUCGAGACCAGUCUGGCCAACAUGGCGAAACCUCAUUUCUACUAAAAAUACAAAAAUUAGCCGGGCGUGGUGGCAAACAACUGUAAUCCGAGCUACUAGGGAGGCUGAGGCAGAAGAAUCGCUUGAACCCAGGAGACAGAGGUUGCAGUGAGCCAAGAUUGCACCACUGCACUCCAGCCUGGGCGACAGAGUGAGACCCUGCCUCAAAAACUAAAAAUAAAAAAUGAACAGUGUCCAACACCUUGAAAGCAUUCCGCAUGACUGAACGAUCACUGUUACGUGAUUACCAACAUGACGACCCCACUUCUCUUGGCCAAACUGAGUUCUCUUCUCUUGUAAAAACUUCUGCAUAUGAAGUCACCCAUUCCAUUUGACUCUUUAGCCCUCAUCCUGGCAUUCAAGGGCAUGGACGACUCAACCCCACUCUCUAGCCAGCCUGACCUCUCCAUUCCCUUCUCUGGCGUAGAGGCCACUCCCACCACCUGCCCUUACCCCCUGCCCACUUUUGUCAGCCUGUACUGUGUUGAAGCUCCCAGGAGAGACAACUGCAGUCAUCACUUUCCACUGUGUUCAGUGAUGUCAGUUCGGCCCAGCUGGAGGUACUCACAUCAUGGAAACAGACCAUCAGAUUUGGUGUGUGUGUGUUUUAUUUUGCUUUUUCAGAGAGCCAGCUGUUAAACACUAGCCAACACCCCAUUGAUGCUGUUCCUUCUACCUGAAACACCUCGCAUUGCCGGUGAGCUCUAAAGACAAAAGGACCUGGGUCUGCAUUUCCCAAAGGCAAGACUCUGGUAUCACCUGCAUAUUAUUUUCCCAUAUUUGAGCACCACUGCCUUUUGCAUUAUUUACUUAGCAGUUUUGCUCCUGUCAACUCACUUUUUUAAAACUAAACUUAUUUUAAAAAGAAAAGUUUUGGCCGGGAGCGGUGGCUCAUGCCUGUAAUCCCAGCACUUUGGGAGGCCGAGGUGGGCAGAUCACCUGAGGUCGGGAGUUCGAGACCAGCCUGACCAACAUGGAGAAACUCCGUCUCUACUAAAAAUACAAAAUUAGCUGGGCGUGGUGGCGCAUGCCUGUAAUCCUAGCUACUCGGGAGGCUGUGGCAGGAGAAUUGCUUGAACCCAGGAGGCGGGGGUUGCAGUGAGUCGAGAUCGCCCCAUUGUACUCCAGCCUGGGGAACAAGAACGAAACUCCGUCUCAAAAAAAAAAAAAAAAAAGAAAAAGAAAAGAAAAGCUUUAUAUAAUUUUAAUACUCAAAAAAACAGUAUCCCGGCCAGGCACAGUGGCUCACACCUGUAAUCCCAGCAAUUUGGGAGGCCAGGCAGGAGGAUCACUUGAGGCUAGGGGUUCAAGACCACUUGAGGCUAGGGCCAACAUGGUGAGACCCCGUCUCUACUAAAAAUACAAAAAUUAGCCAGGCAUAGUGGCACGUGCCUGUAAUCCCAACUACUCGGGUGGCUGAGGAACAAAAAUCACCUGAAUCCAGGAGGCGGAGGUUGCUGCGAGCCGAGAUCGUGCCACUGCACUUCAGCCUGGGUGACGGAGUGAGACUCUGUCUCAAAAAAAGAAAAAGAAAAAGAGUAUCCCUUGCCAUAAAUAGCAAGCAGUCAUUCAGACAUGGAAAUGAGGCAUUCACACUUGUUCUUGUUUCACACUAAGGCCCUAAGCCUAAGGAGGGUUUCUCUAUGUUGAAAGGAAAUUAGGCAGUGUUCAGAGGGGUGUUAAAGAUAGACUAGCAACUAAUUGAAACUUUCUCCUCAAUGUAAGCACUUUAGAAGGGACUGAAAAGAGAAUGUUCUCCCUACAUGUACCAUAUCACCUACAAUUACCUCGUGUACCACUAUUUUGCAAAUAAAUGCCAGAGGCAAGAGUACAUUUUGAUGCUUUAGCCUAGCACUCAAAGCCCUCCUCGAUUUGAAUCUUUCCAGCCUCAUCUUGCACAGCCCCUCCAUACCCAGACCUCACCCACUCUAUUUGCCAUCUCCAGAACAUACCCCUAACUUUCUCACCUCUGUGCCUUUGUGCAAGCUGCUCCCUCUACCUGGAAACCUCCAUUUGUCAAGCUGCUGCUGUCUUCAAGAUCUACCUGGUCAGAAUCUCCUGCUGUCCUCUUCUGCCACCCACAGCAAUGUGAGCCUUCACUGGCUGGCCUUCCCUACUCACUGGAGCAGAGCUACGGCAUCAGAAUGCCCUGGAGCAGGGGUUAGAAACACAGAUUUCUGAGUCUACACUCGAAGAUUUUUUUUUCUUUCUUUCUUUUUUUUUGUUUUCCAAUUUUUCUAAUUUUAGAGAUGGGGUCUCACCACGUUGCCCAGGCUGGUCUCAAGCUCCUGGACUCAGGUCAUCCUACCACCUAGGCCUUCUAAAGUGUUAGGAUGAGCCCUGAACCUUGUAACAUGAACAUUUAUUAGUUAUAUCUGGAAAAAAAUAUAAAGUUAUUUUUAUUUGGGUGAUACUGCCUUCAAAAAACAAAAACAAAAAAAAACAGGAGGCCGAGCACAGUGGCUCAUGCCUGUAAUCCCAGUGCUUUGGGAGGCUGAGGCAGGCGGAUCACUUGAGACCAGGAGUUCAAGACCAGCCUGGCCAACAUAGUGAAACCCCGCUUCUAUUAAAAAUACAAAAAUGGGCCAGGCACGGUGGCUCAUACCUGUAAUCCCAGCACUUUGGGAGGCCGAGGCGAGUGAAUCACGAGGUCAAGAGAUCAAGACCAUCCUGGUAAACAUGGAGAAACCCUGUCUCUACUAAAAAUACAAAAAUUAGCUGGGCACGGUGUCACGUGCCUGUAGUCCCAGCUACUAGAGAAGCUGAGUCAGCGGAAUCGCUUGAACCCAGGAGGUAGAGGUUGCAGUGAGCUGAGAUUGCACCACUGCACUCCAGCCUGGGCGACAGAGUGAGACUCUGUCUCAAAAAAAAAAAAAAAAAAAUUAGCCAAGUGUGGUGGCACAUGCCUGUAAUCCCAAUUACUCGGGAGGCUGAGGCAGAAGAAUUGCUUGAACCUGGGAGGUGGAGGUUUCAGUGAGCCAAGAUCGCACCACUGCCCUCCAGCCUGGGCAAUAGAGCAAGACUCCAUCUCACAAAAUAAAAAGCCAAAAAAAGCUCUCGACAGUUCUGUUCCCCGCCUGAGGUGUUUGUCUCAGGAUCCCGGCCUGGCUGUGGGCCACAGAUGGCAAAAACCAAGGUCCGUCUAUUACUGGGCAUCCAGGGUUUCAUAAUCUCUACGACCUCCAUGCCUGGAACUCCACACAUUGCGCAUGCCCCAGAAACGCUUGCCCAACGGACCCCAAUCCACCAUUUCUGAAUGCAUUUUUCAUGACUUGCUGAAUGUGUCUUGUUAAUCCAAUUAGAUUGUAAACUCCGGGAGUGCAGGGACAACGUUGACCUUCCUAUUACUCCCCUCACCCCCGCCCAGCUCUGGGCUGGGCACACAGUGACCCUCAAGGGUAGCACAAAGACUUGAGGCAAGAAAAACACCUGUAGAAGGAAAAGGCUGGAUACUGGGAGCGCCUCUGUCUGCUUUGCUGCCAUCCUCUUCUUCAACAACAAAGGACACGCUAAUUCUAUGCAGCAAAAGUUUCCAAACACGUUAGCCUAAGAAUUUCGAGUCAUGCAAAAAAUAAAUUCCCAGAGUCACAGGGUUAAAAAAAAUCAGAUUCCAGGGCCCCAUCCUUGUUGUUCCUGAGUCAGACUCCCCAGUCAAACUGCCAGAGAACCUCGUCUUUGAACAAACACUUCAGGCAACUUUCCCAGGAUAAAGCAAGUUUCAGAAACUCUCACACAGCUUCUUAGGUAUCUCAGAUAUGGCUCUUGCCCUCCAGAUGUUUACAAAUGAAAACAAGAAAUCUGGUUCCAACAAGCAAAAGCCCAGAGAGACCUCAAACACAAAGAUGCAAAUCAAAAUUAGUAGAGAAAUAAAUGAGCCGGGACGUUGUACUUCGGUCGCGGGGCUGGCUGAGGUCACUACCUGCACAGCCGACUGUUGGAAGUUCUGCGGUAUACCAGCUGAAUGGCCUUGAACAAGUCCCAUCUCCACUCGGAGCCUCCGUUUCCGCAUCUGUAGAAUGGGGAUAUGUGGGCCUAACUCACAGCGUUGUGAGAAUUCAACAAGAACACAUCAAGCAGCUGUGAAUGUAGCAAGCCGGCAUUUGAUUAAAUGUUAGUUUUCGUCCUAAGAAAAAUAGCUAAUAUUUCUGAGCACUUACGGCCGAGCCCUGAGCUAACAUUUACUUCCUCCUUUAACUCCCACAACAACCCAAUGAGGUAGGAUCUAUUAUUAUCCCCAUUUCACAGAUGCGGAAAUUAAGACACAGAAAGGUUAAAAAAAAAACACGCACAGGCCAGGCGUGGUGGAUCACCCCCUGUAAUCUCAGCACUUUGGGAGGUGGAGCCUGGAGGAUCGCUUGAGGCCAGGAGUUUGAGACUAGCCUGGGCAACAUAGCAAGACCCUGUCUCUAUAAAAAAAAAUUUAAAGCUGAGUGCAGUGGCUCACGCCUGUAACCCCAACACUUUGAGAGGCUGAGGCAGGUGAACUCUUGAGCCCAGGAAUUCAAGACCAAACUGGGCAGCAUAGUGAGACCCUGUCUCUUAAAAAAAAAAAAAUCAGCUGGGCGUGGUGGUGCAUGCCUGUGAUCCCAACUACUCGGGAGGCUGAGGUGGGAGGAUCGCUUGAGCCCAGGAGUUUGAGGUCUCAGUGAGCUAUGAUUGUGCCAUUGCGCUCCAGCCUGCACAACAGAGAAAGGUCUGUCUUAAAAAAAAAAAAAAAAAGAAAAGAAAGAAAAGAAAAAAGAACCCAACGUCUCCCAACCAGGAAAUGGCAGAGCUGGGAUUAGAGCCUAGAAAACCUAUCCUGUAGCCCCAGGAGGAAAUAGCCUCACGGGAGCAAAACCACCAGGUGUUUAGGACUCAUGAAAAUUAUACAUUGGCUUCUUUGGGAAAAGUGGCCCAUUCAGCUGAGCAGGACCCAAAAUAGCAAAAGGGCCAAGGACAGCCCGCCUGCCCUAGGUGUGGCCCCAGCCAGGAUUCCUAGCCCUGCGAGUUUUCCCAGAUUGGCCAACACACGUCUGAACCCCUGGGAUCAGGAAGUGCCAAUGCCUGGGUCUUGCUAAAGCCAUUUACCGUCGACAGAUAUCCCACCGAUGGCCAAGUGCCAGUUAGUCACGGCCUCAGUGCAGCACCUCAUCCCUCCCAGAAAGCCAUGGCUCUGGACUCCACCCACUGAAAACAGGGCUUUUGUGGGAAUACAAUGGGACAAGAAGAAAAACAUGCUGAACCUGAUCUCCAUGGGACCUGAUGUGGAGUCACGUUCAUUCACAUCACUGGCUUGCAGCCUCUCCACUCACAAGUUAUUGAUAAUCGAAAAAAUAAAACACCAUGCGAUCGUAUUUCUGGGCAGAUAGAAUGCAAGAGCCUGGGGCACUGGUUGUUUCUGGGGAGGGGAAGGGAACCGAGAGACCCAAGAAGAGGGUGGACAAGCUAGGCACGGUGGCUCACCCCUGUAAUCCCAGCAUUUUGGGAGGCCAAGGCAGGCAGACACUUGAGGUCAGGAGUUCGAGAUCACCCUGGCCAACAUGGUGAAACCCUGUCUCUACUAAAAACAUAAAAAUUAGCCAGGCGUGGUGGCAGGUGCCUAUAAUCGCAGCCACUCAGGAGUCUGAGGCAGGGGAAUCACUUGAACCUGGAGGCAGAGAUUGCAGUAACCGGAGAUCGUGCCAUUGCAUUCCAUCCUGGGCGACAGAGCGAAACUCCGUCUCAAAGAAAAAAAUAAAAGGACUAUGAGUGGGAGCAGAUGUAGGGAGAUGCAAGGGACGGAGUAUCAGGAGAACAGUACCUGUUCUGGGCUCUCCGCUAAUCAAACCCAACCACCAGGCAGAGGCAUGGGAGACCCCCACACACAGAGCAGGGUGGAGACAGGAGAAGCGAUCGCAGAAGAGGCCAGACCACCACCCAAUAGAUGUGGGUAACUAUUCAAAACUCAGAUCAUCUGAACAGAAAAAGGUAAAUGCUAUGAGCUAAAAACUUCAAGGUUCUUUGCAUCAGUGCCCUUUUUUUUUUUUCCUGAAGUUAUUUCAAGUUGGAUUUCUACCACUUGCAAACCAAAGAGUCUUGCCGAACAGAGACGGAAACAUGGAAGAUUUCAUUGAAGUGGAAACCUGGCAUUGUAAUUGCCCACUGCUUGUAAAAUUCAGGCCAGUGUGGUGGCUCACGCCUGUAAUCCCAACACUUCGGGAGGCUGAGGUGGGCAGAUCGCCUGAGCCCAGAAGUUCAAGACCAGCCUGGGCAACAUGGCAAGACCCUGUCUCUAUAAAAAAUUUUGGUUUAAAGCUAAGUGCAGUGGCUCACACCUGUAAUGCCAACUCUUUGGGAGGCUGAAGCAGGUUAAUUGCUUGAGCCCAGGAGGUCGAGACCAAACUGGGCAACAUAGUGAGACCCCAUCUCUAAAAAAAGAGAAGAAAAGAAAAUCAGCAGGGAGUGUUGGCACAUGCCAGUGGUCCCAGCUAUUCAGGAGGCCGAGGUGGAAGAAUCACCUGAACCCAGGAAGGUCAAGGCUGCAGCAAGCUGUGAUAGUGCCACUGCACUCCAGCCUGGACAACAGAGCAAGACCCUGUCUCAAAAUAAGUACAUAGGCUGGGCGAGGUGGCUCAUGCCUGUAAUCCUAGCACUUUGGGAGGUCGAGGCGGGCAGAUCAUUUGGGGUAAGGAGUUCGAGACCAGUUUGGCCAACACGGUGAAACCCCGUCUCUACUAAAAAUACAAAAAAAAUUAGCUGGGUGUGGUGGCACAUGCCUGUAAUCCCAGCUACUUGGGGAGGCUGAGGCAGAAGAAUUACUUGAACCUGGGAGACAGAGAUCGCGUCACUGCACUCCAGCCUGGUUGACAGUGCGAGACUCUCAAAAAAAAUUGGCCAGGCAUAGUGGCUCACGCCUGUAAUCCUAGCACUUUGGGAGGCCGAGGUGGGUGGAUCACCUGAGGUCAGGAGUUCGAGAC